AUCCAGCUGACGAGUCCUAAAGAGGACGGAAAGCACGUCCUAGAU
rfam:Schistosoma mattheei strain Denwood, Zambia genome assembly, scaffold: SMTD_scaffold0005535